rnacentral:rRNA from 1 species
AUUGAACGCUGGCGGCAGGCCUAACACAUGCAAGUCGAACGAGUGGCGGACGGGUGAGUAAUGUCUGGGAAACUGCCCGAUCGAGGGGGAUAACUACUGGAAACGGUAGCUAAUACCGCAUACCAUCGGAUGUGCCCAGAUGGGAUUAGCUUGUAGGUGAGGUAACGGCUCACCUAGGCGACGAUCCCUAGCUGGGCUGAGAGGAUGACCAGGCACACUGGAACUGAGACACGGUCCAUACUCCUACGGGAGGCAGUAGUGGGGAAUAUGGCACAAUGGGCGUAAGCCUGAUGCAGCCAUGCCGGGGGGAUGAAGAAGGCCUUAGGGUUGUAAAGUACUUUCAGCGGGGAGGCGUUACCCGCAGAAGAAGCACCGGCUCACUCCGUGCCAGCAGCCGCGGUAAUUC